rnacentral:rRNA from 1 species
UAGGGAAUCUUCCGCAAUGGACGCAAGUCUGACGGAGCAACGCCGCGUGAGUGAAGAAGGAUUUCGGUUCGUAAAACUCUGUUGUUAGAGAAGAACAGCGCAUAGAGUAACUGUUAUGCGUGUGACGUUAUCUAACCAGAAAGCCACGGCUAACUACGUGCCAGCAGCCGCGGUAAUACGUAGGUGGCAAGCGUUGUCCGGAUUUAUUGGGCGUAAAGCGAGCGCAGGCGGUCAAUUAAGUCUGAUGUGAAAGCCCCCGGCUCAACCGGGGAGGGUCAUUGGAAACUGGUUGUCUUGAGGGCAGAAGAGGAGAGUGGAAUUCCAUGUGUAGCGGUGAAAUGCGUAGGUAUAUGGAGGAACACCAGUGGCGAAGGCGACUCUCUGGUCUGUAACUGACGCUGAGGCUCGAAAGCGUGGGUAGCAAACAGG